rnacentral:rRNA from 1 species
GUGGAGCGCUUAGAAGUGAGAAUGCCGGUAUGAGUAGCGAAAGAUGGGUGAGAAUCCCAUCCACCGAAUGCCUAAGGUUUCCUGAGGAAGGCUCGUCCGCUCAGGGUUAGUCGGGACCUAAGCCGAGGCUGAAAAGCGUAGGCGAUGGACAACAGGUUGAUAUUCCUGUACCACCUCUUUACCGUUUGAGCAAUGGGGGGACGCAGGAGGAUAGGGUAAGCGCGCUGCUGGAUUAGCGCGUCCAAGCAGUUAGGCCGGUAACGAGGCAAAUCCCGUUACCACACAGGCUGAGCUGUGACGGCGAGGGAAAUUUAGUACCGAAGUUCCUGAUUCCACACUGCCAAGAAAAGCCUCUAGCGAGGGAAAAGGUGCCCGUACCGCAAACCGACACAGGUAGGCGAGGAGAGAAUCCUAAGGUGAGCGAGAGAACUCUCGUUAAGGAACUCGGCAAAAUGACCCCGUAACUUCGGGAGAAGGGGUGCUCAUUAGGGUGCAUAGCCCUGAUGAGCCGCAGUGAAUAGGCCCAGGCGACUGUUUAGCAAAAACACAGGUCUCUGCGAAGCCGCAAGGCGAAGUAUAGGGGCUGACGCCUGCCCGGUGCUGGAAGGUUAAGAGGAGAGGUUAGCGCAAGCGAAGCUUUGAAUCGAAGCCCCAGUAAACGGCGGCCGUAACUAUAACGGUCCUAAGGUAGCGAAAUUCCUUGUCGGGUAAGUUCCGACCCGCACGAAAGGCGUAACGAUCUGGGCACUGUCUCAACGAGAGACUCGGUGAAAUUAUAGUACCUGUGAAGAUGCAGGUUACCCGCGACAGGACGGAAAGACCCCGUGGAGCUUUACUGUAGCCUGAUAUUGAAUUUUGGUACAGCUUGUACAGGAUAGGUAGGAGCCUGAGAAGCCGGAGCGCCAGCUUCGGUGGAGGCGUCGGUGGGAUACUACCCUGGCUGUAUUGAAAUUCUAACCCGCGCCCCUUAUCGGGGCGGGAGACAGUGUCAGGUGGGCAGUUUGACUGGGGCGGUCGCCUCCUAAAAAGUAACGGAGGCGCCCAAAGGUUCCCUCAGAAUGGUUGGAAAUCAUUCGCAGAGUGUAAAGGCACAAGGGAGCUUGACUGCGAGACCUACAAGUCGAGCAGGGACGAAAGUCGGGCUUAGUGAUCCGGUGGUUCCGCAUGGAAGGGCCAUCGCUCAACGGAUAAAAGCUACCCCGGGGAUAACAGGCUUAUCUCCCCCAAGAGUCCACAUCGACGGGGAGGUUUGGCACCUCGAUGUCGGCUCAUCGCAUCCUGGGGCUGUAGUCGGUCCCAAGGGUUGGGCUGUUCGCCCAUUAAAGCGGUACGCGAGCUGGGUUCAGAACGUCGUGAGACAGUUCGGUCCCUAUCCGUCGUGGGCGCAGGAAAUUUGAGAGGAGCUGUCCUUAGUACGAGAGGACCGGGAUGGACGCACCGCUGGUGUACCAGUUGUCUUGCCAAAGGCAUCGCUGGGUAGCUAUGUGCGGAAGGGAUAAGUGCUGAAAGCAUCUAAGCAUGAAGCCCCCCUCGAGAUGAGAUUUCCCAUAGCGUCAAGCUAGUAAGAUCCCUGAAAGAUGAUCAGGUUGAUAGGUCAGAGGUGGAAGCGUGGCGACAUGUGGAGCUGACUGAUACUAAUCGAUCGAGGACUUAACCAA